GAUGAACGCUGGCGGCGUGCCUAAUACAUGCAAGUCGAGCGAACAGACGAGGAGCUUGCUCCUCUGACGUUAGCGGCGGACGGGUGAGUAACACGUGGAUAACCUACCUAUAAGACUGGGAUAACUUCGGGAAACCGGAGCUAAUACCGGAUAAUAUAUUGAACCGCAUGGUUCAAUAGUGAAAGACGGUUUUGCUGUCACUUAUAGAUGGAUCCGCGCCGCAUUAGCUAGUUGGUAAGGUAACGGCUUACCAAGGCAACGAUGCGUAGCCGACCUGCGAGGGUGAUCGGCCACACUGGAACUGAGACACGGUCCAGACUCCUACGGGAGGCAGCAGUAGGGAAUCUUCCGCAAAGGGCGAAAGCUUGACGGAGCAACGCCGCGUGAGUGAUGAAGGUCUUCGGAUCGUAAAACUCUGUUAUUAGGGAAGAACAAAUGUGUAAGUAACUAUGCACGUCUUGACGGUACCUAAUCAGAAAGCCACGGCUAACUACGUG
rnacentral:rRNA from 1 species